rnacentral:sRNA from 1 species
AAUCGUUAAAGAGUUUUAAUGAGUAGAGUUAGCGCACGGCUCAAACCCUUGAGCCAUUCCCCUAAGCUCGGGACUCCCUCCAAAUUGGUCCCGAGCAUUUUUUU